AAACCAUGAUGAGGACACUCUAAGAGAAGAUCCUUAAAACGUUCCAUAUACACAUAGAAAAUGAUUCAUUGGGUUUUUGCCGAAAUUGGAGAAUGUCAUUCCUAAGUUU
rnacentral:snoRNA from 1 species